rnacentral:lncRNA from 11 species
UUUGGUUUCUCUUUUUUCCCCUUCUUGAAGAUACAGACAACAUUUGCCCUCCUCCAGUCUGCUGGGACUUCUCCUGUUCUCCAAUAAUUCUCAAGGAUUAAGUGGUUCUGAAGUGACUUCUGCUAGUUGUUUCAAUACUCCUGGGUGUAGCUCAUCUGGCCCUGGAGACUUGAAUUCCUCCUCCUCCUCCUCCUCCUCCUCCUCCUCCUCCUCCUCCUCCUCCUCCUCCUCCUCCUCCUCUUCUUCUUCUUCUUCUUCUUCUUCUUCUUCUUCUUCUUCUUCUUCUUCUUCGUCCUGGCAUUUGUCCCACAAAUUUGGGAAUAGAAAGGGGAGAGCUAAGAGGAGAAUCCCUCCCCGUCCCCCAAUGUCAGGUUCUUGCUCGCAUGCCGCACAGAUGCAGAAGGAACAUAUCGCACCAAGGAACCCGUGGUGGUGCAAUGGAGUAAACCCUUGUGCCAGCAGGACUGAUGAUUUGAAGGUUGGGUUGCUGUCCUUAAGGUUGCUGGUUCAAAUCCAACCCGGGGAGAGCGUGGAUGAGCUCCCUCUAUCAGCUCCAGUUCCAUGCGGGGACAUGAGCCAAGCCUCCCACAAGUAUGGUAAAAACAUCAAAACAUCUGGACGUCCCCUGGGCAGCAUCCUUGCAGAUGGCCAAUUCUCUCACACCAGAAGACUUGCAGUUUCUCAAGUCCCUCCUGACACAUAAAAAAACUUCCUUUCUGUGUUCAUGUAGUCUUUAACUGGUUGCCAGUCCAUUGGGCAAUGGGCAUGUUCAAAAAUUGGAGGCAAGACAAUAAAUUAUACAUAUGCAAUAUAUUGCAACUGAUUUUCAUUGAGGACCACAUCAGACUUACAGCUGCCUUCAAAGCUCAACUGAAUUCAUGAAUGGAGAAUUCAU